GACGAACCAUCCAAACGUUAUUCGGAAUUACUGGGCUUAAAGGGUGCGUAGGCGGUGCGAUAAGUUGGGUGUGAAAGACCUCGGCCUAACCGAGGAAUUGCGCCCAAAACUGUCGGACUCGAGCAAGGCAGAGGUGAACGGAACUUAGGGUGGAGCGGUGAAAUGCGUUGAUAUCCUAAGGAACACCAGUAGCGAAAGCGGUUCACUGGGCCUUUUCUGACGCUGAUGCACGAAAGCCAGGGGAGCGAACGGG
rnacentral:rRNA from 1 species